rnacentral:lncRNA from 1 species
CUUACACAAGGGUUUCGUCAGCCUCUGCCACCCCCGAGACAGCAAGACCAACCUUUCCUCCUCCUCUUCCUUAGCCAUCUCAAUGUGAAGAUGAUGAGGAUGAAGACCUUUAUGUUGAUCCACUUCCACCUAAUGAACAGAGCACCCCACUGUUAUUCACCCUGGAAGUACAGGAAGCCCAGCCAGCCUCUUCACCUCCAGCAAAGCAGCUCAGCCCCUCCAUUGUUGGUCCUUUGGAAUUUCCAUCCAGGUGUUAGGAACAGUUCAUUCUGUAUCCCAAAUUACAAAGCCUAUUUCUCUUUAGGUAGGGGAAGGUGUCCCUUAUACCCUGCCCUUGGCUGCGGGUAGCAGGAAUACAGCCCACCAAAUUACCUCUUUAAAAAAUUUUUCUGUGUGGUUUUGGUGAAGCCUUUUCCACGAGGCUUAGAGUUGGGAUGCAACACUCUCUUGUAUCCACCUCUCACAGACUGGGAGACAAUGUGGGCCACACAGUAUUGCCCUCUCUCAAAAAAACAAUAUCCCAAAUAACUCUUUUGUCCUUCUUCCUCUGUUUCAGUCCUCCAUUCACAACCCUUUUAUAUGUCGUAGAUGUGAUCAGGAGUUUCAGAAUCAUGAAAUGAGUUUUUGUUCUAUAUUCUUUCUAAAUCCUCUGUCAUCUUCUACAUAUUUAUCAGUUAUCCUUACGUUAGUUAGAUGGUUUGAUAUUCUCUGACAGUUCUCAGAUGCUUGGUCUAUUUUUUUCUACUUUCUUUUCCCCCAGAAUUUCAGUUUGGAUAUUUUUUAUUGAUCUAUAUAAGUGCACUGAUACCUCUCCUGUGUUCUAUCUGCUAUUUCACUCUUAGAAGAAGUUUUCAUUUUGGUUUUAUACUUUUUCAUUUCUGACAUUUUCAUUGGUUGCUUUUAUAAUCUUAAUUUCCCUUCUGAAAUUCCCAUUUUGAAUGCAUUUUUUCCACAAGUCUUUAUACGUCAU